UCCUCAGGGAGACCAACUAUUCAUGCUAAAAGGUCGUUGAUGCAUUCCCUUCUUUUACGGCAUGUUUAAGAACUUUUGGGAAAAAGAAGGAAUAAGUAGCAAAAUUAGUCUCCAUGAUUCUAAGAGAUCAAGAAAGAUUCUAAGUUUGCUAAGAGAGUGACUGCAAAAAUUGAUCGGAAACAAUUUUGAGACCAAAAAAAAUAAAUUCCGUACCUUGUCUCAUAACUAUAG